CAUGUGGGUGAUCUGCCCUGCACUUCGGGAUAAGCCUGGGAAACUGGGUCUAAUACCGGAUAUGACCUCCUAUCGCAUGGUGGGUGGUGGAAAGAUUUAUCGGUGCAGGAUGGGCCCGCGGCCUAUCAGCUUGUUGGUGGGGUAAUGGCCUACCAAGGCGACGACGGGUAGCCGACCUGAGAGGGUGACCGGCCACACUGGGACUGAGACACGGCCCAGACUCCUACGGGAGGCAGCAGUGGGGAAUAUUGCACAAUGGGCGAAAGCCUGAUGCAGCGACGCCGCGUGAGGGAUGACGGCCUUCGGGUUGUAAACCUCUUUCAGCAGGGACGAAGCGCAAGUGACGGUACCUGCAGAAGAAGCACCGGCUAACUACGUG
rnacentral:rRNA from 1 species